AUUGAGCGCUGGCGGCAUGCCUUACACAUGCAAGUCGAACGGCAGCACGGGAGCAAUCCUGGUGGCGAGUGGCGAACGGGUGAGUAAUAUAUCGGAACGUGCCCAGUCGUGGGGGAUAACGCAGCGAAAGCUGUGCUAAUACCGCAUACGAUCUACGGAUGAAAGCGGGGGAUCGCAAGACCUCGCGCGAUUGGAGCGGCCGAUAUCAGAUUAGCUAGUUGGUGAGGUAAAGGCUCACCAAGGCGACGAUCUGUAGCUGGUCUGAGAGGACGACCAGCCACACUGGAACUGAGACACGGUCCAGACUCCUACGGGAGGCAGCAGUGGGGAAUUUUGGACAAUGGACGCAAGUCCGAUCCAGCCAUUCCGCGUGCAGGAUGAAGGCCCUCGGGUUGUAAACUGCUUUUGUACGGAACGAAAAGGUCUCUCUUAAUACGGGGGACUCAUGACGGUACCGUAAGAAUAAGCACCGGCUAACUACGUGCCAGCAGCCGCGGUAA
rnacentral:rRNA from 1 species